rnacentral:piRNA from 1 species
UCAUAGAAUGGAAUGGGUAUACUUGG